rnacentral:lncRNA from 1 species
UUUUUUGUUUUGUUUUUGUUUUUAAUUUUUACUUUAGUUUAGUUUUUCAAGACGGGGUUUCUCUGUGUAACCCUGGCUGUCCUGGAGCUCUAUAGACCAGGCUGGCCUCAAACUCUAGGAGAGCUGCCUGCCUCUGCCUCCCAAGUGCUGGCAUUAAAGGUGUGUGCUUGGCUUGUUUUUAUUAAUAUUUUUAAGUGGGUGCAAAAUCUUUAGGCUUCCUGUUCUUCUUGUGCAUAGAAUAAAGUGAUAGGUUGCAAAAGAGAAAAAAAGAAGUAAAAAUAAUUUCCUUGAUCCUCAAAUUAAUAUGCAUUAAAAUAGAGUUUGGAGCAAUGUUGACUGAGUUCCUACUAUUUUGAAAUCUGCAUGAGUCUUCUCACAGUAACAUCGUGUAUUCAUGGUCAUUUUGAAGAACUACUUUAGGAGAUUAACCAGACUGCUAUAACAGUAUUUUUGACAUCACUUUGAGUAGCACAUGCCCAGGAAAAUACUUAGAAUGAACUAAUGAAUAAAUAAAGCUACUUUUAAACAGCUAUUCUAGCAAUUCCAUUUAUACAACUUUUUAAAAACGCCAGCUAAGAGAUGGAUAAAUUUUGCUGUGUUGCUAGUGUUAUUAUAGGCUUACAGAGAGUUAAAUGGCACAUAUAUGAUUAUAUGGAAACAUGUCUGAGGAUCAGAACAAUGUUAGUUUACACCAGAAAUUAUUGCGUGCUGAUUACAUUUGUGUAAAACUUUAGACCUCUACACUGAAAGGAAUCAGAAGGCAUGUAACUACAGGCUAAUAUAUGAUCUUUUUGUUUCUGUAAGAUAUUAAUGUGUAGAACUAAAAUAAACGAUUAAUUGGU